rnacentral:rRNA from 1 species
AUUGAACGCUGGCGGCAGGCCUAACACAUGCAAGUCGAGCGAGCGGCGGACGGGUGAGUAAUGUAUGGGGACUGCCCGAUAGAGGGGGAUAACUACUGGAAACGGUGGCUAAUACCGCAUACUAUCGGAUAACCCAUAUGGGAUUAGCUAGUGGGUGGGGUAAGGGCUCACCUAGGCGACGACCUCUAGCUGGUCUGAGAGGAUGAUCAGCAACACUGGGACUGAGACACGGCCCAGAGUCCUACGGAGGCAGCAGGGGGGAAGAUUGCACAAUGGGCGCAAUCCGGAGGCAGCCAUGCGGCGUGUAGGAAGAAGGCCUCAGGGUUGUAAAGUACUUUCAGCGGGGAGGCGUUACCCGCAGAAGAAGCACCGGCUAACUCCGUGCCAGCAGCCGCGGUAAUAC